CCUACGGGAGGCAGCAGUGGGGAAUAUUGCACAAUGGGAGAAACCCUGAUGCAGCGACGCCGCGUGAGCGAUGAAGUAUUUCUGUAUGUAAAGCUCUAUCAGCAGGGAAGUAAAUUACGGUACCUGACUAAGAAUCCCCGGCUAACUACGUUCCAGCAGCCGCGGUAAUACGUAGGGGGCAAGCGUUAUCCGGAUUUACUGGGUGUAACGGGAGCGUAGACGGUCUUGAAAGCCAGAUGUGAAAGCCCGGGGCUCAACCCCGGGACUGCAUUUGGAACUGUAAGGCUAGAGUGUCGUAGAGGCAGGCGGAAUGCCUGGUGUAGCGGUGAAAUGCGUAGAUAUUAGGAGGAACACCAGUGGCGAAGGCGGCCUGCUGGACGAUGACUGACGUUGAGGCUCGAAAGCGUGGGGAGCAAACAGGAUUAGAUACCCCGGUAGUC
rnacentral:rRNA from 1 species